rnacentral:lncRNA from 1 species
CUACUUCAGGGAGCCGUGGUCCAUGGCCAUCUAUCACGACCGCUUUAUCGAUCUGCAGAAGGAGCUGCGCCAGGUCCUGCUGUCAGAGCAGGUGAGAGAAAUGCCGCUUUAUUAUUCGGCUAAUCUGUUGAUGUUGUUCACUUCGGUUGCUUCUCCCAUCUUUCUCCCGAAGCUUCAUGCUGCUGUCGAGCUAUUUCCUGCACAGAUCCCACACCCGCCGCCCUGCUGGUCCCUCUCAGUCUUCUGCCAUGCUUUCAGAUUUGCCAGCAGAACUUCCCACGAAGUCGCUCUGUUUUCCCACGCAGCACGAGAGGCCCGCCAGAAAUGCCCACCUCAUUUCUUCACUUAUCGCUUUCCCGGUGUUUCCCGAUCGGAAUUCACUAAAUGCCAUCCUAAACCUGUCUCAGGCGAGCCUGCAACCAGCAGGUUUCUCAACACCUCCCCAUAGAGAACGAAUGGCUUUUGCAGCCUUACGCCGCAGACAGAGCCAUGCAGUCCCACAGCCCGUAGCUCCCGUCACUCCAAACCGAAACCACCAUAGAUGGGUACCCCCUGCUGCCAUGGGUACCCCACGGAAUUCCUGGGUGUGGGUGACUACAGGGACGGCCGCUGUGGGGACGGCGCCCACCCGUCCGGACGACCCGAAGCGGCGCGCUGCUCGCAGCUCAGCGCACUGCGGCGUGCCAGCCGGCUCCCGACGACGGGCACGGGGAAGGAAAGCGCAGCGCCGGCGGGGCAGCGCUGGGGCCGGCUGCUGCCGGGGGCCCACCCGGGGCUUUGUUGCACCGCGCGGUGCAAACACGCAGAUGGCGGCGGAGCGGCCCUUCGCACCUCCGUCAGCCGGCGGCGUACGGCGCUGCCCCGCACAGCGCUACUCCGCCACCGCCGCUUCUCCUCGGCGCUCCGAUUCCCCACUCGCAGCGGGGCCGCUCCGAGCCCAAAGCAGAGCGGGAGUUACCUGGGGAAGUUGGGGGGGGCGGGCGCAGGGGCUGGGGGAUUUCCUCCGACACGUGCUUUCCCCGCAGGUGCCCCCGGAGCGGCAGACCGAGGACAGCCCCGUCCCGCCGCUGCUCGCGGGCCCGGCCGUGCGCUACCUGCUGCGGCACGGCGCCCAGCUGCCCAUGUACGCCCGCGGCCGCCCGGCAGGUUUUAACUUUUAUACCUGGAAAUAA